GACGUAGGGGGCCAGCGUUGCUCGGAAUUACUGGGCGUAAAGGGUUCGUAGGCGGUGCGGCAAGUCGGAAGUGAAAUCUCCAGGCUUAACUUGGAGGCUGCUCCCGAAACUGCCGUGCUCGAGUGCGGGAGAGGCGAGUGGAAUUGCAGGUGUAGCGGUGAAAUGCGUAGAUAUCUGCAGGAACACCCGUGGCGAAGGCGGCUCGCUGGACCGCAACUGACGCUGAGGAACGAAAGCUAGGGGAG
rnacentral:rRNA from 1 species